CCUACGGGGGGCUGCAGUGGGGGAUAUUGGACAAUGGGGGGAACCCUGAUCCAGCGACGCCGCGUGAGUGAAGAAGUAUUUCGGUAUGUAAAGCUCUGUCAGCAGGGAAGAAAGCAAUGACGGUACCUGACCAAGAAGCCCCGGCUAACUACGUGCCAGCAGCCGCGGUAAUACGUAGGGGGCAAGCGUUAUCCGGAAUUACUGGGUGUAAAGGGAGCGUAGACGGCUGUGCAAGUCUGGAGUGAAAGGCGGGGGCCCAACCCCCGGACUGCUCGGGAAACUGUAUGGCUGGAGUGCAGGAGAGGUAAGCGGAAUUCCUAGUGUAGCGGUGAAAUGCGUAGAUAUUAGGAGGAACAUCAGUGGCGAAGGCGACUAUCUGGCACAUAACUGACGCUGAGGAGCGAAAGCGUGGGUAGCAAACAGGAUUAGAUACCCGAGUAGUC
rnacentral:rRNA from 1 species